UAGCGGCAGGCUUAACACAUGCAAGUCGAGGGGCAGCGGGGAGGAAGCUUGCUUUCUCCGCCGGCGACCGGCGCACGGGUGAGUAACACGUAUGCAACCUGCCCCUGUCAGGGGGACAACCCGCCGAAAGGCGGGCUAAACCCGCGUACAUGCCACCGGGGCAUCCCGGAGGCAGGAAAGGCUUCGGCCGGACAGGGAUGGGCAUGCGGCGCAUUAGGCAGUAGGCGGGGUAACGGCCCACCUAACCGACGAUGCGUAGGGGUUCUGAGAGGAAGGUCCCCCACACUGGUACUGAGACACGGACCAGACUCCUACGGGAGGCAGCAGUGAGGAAUAUUGGUCAAUGGUCGGGAGACUGAACCAGCCAAGCCGCGUGAGGGAGGAAGGUACAGAGUAUCGUAAACCUCUUUUGUCAGGGAACAAAGACUGGGACGCGUCCCCGGAUGAGUGUACCUGAAGAAAAAGCAUCGGCUAACUCCGUGCCAGCAGCCGCGGUAAUACGGAGGAUGCGAGCGUUAUCCGGAUUUAUUGGGUUUAAAGGGUGCGCAGGCGGUCUGUUAAGUCAGCGGUCAAAGCCCGGGGCUCAACCCCGGCCCGCCGUUGAAACUGGCAGUCUCGAGUUGGAGAGAAGUAUGCGGAAUGCGCGGUGUAGCGGUGAAAUGCAUAGAUAUCGCGCAGAACUCCGAUUGCGAAGGCAGCAUGCCGGCUCCACACUGACGCUGAGGCACGAAAGCGUGGGUAUCGAACAGGAUUAGAUACCCUGGUAGUCCACGCAGUAAACGAUGAAUGCUGGCUGUCCGGGGGGACUGACCCCUGGGUGGCGAAGCGAAAGCGAUAAGCAUUCCACCUGGGGAGUACGCCGGCAACGGUGAAACUCAAAGGAAUUGACGGGGGCCCGCACAAGCGGAGGAACAUGUGGUUUAAUUCGAUGAUACGCGAGGAACCUUACCCGGGCUCAAACGGGGAGUGGCGCAGGCAGAGACGCCUGUUUCCCACGGGACACUCCCCGAGGUGCUGCAUGGUUGUCGUCAGCUCGUGCCGUGAGGUGUCGGCUUAAGUGCCAUAACGAGCGCAACCCCCGCGUGCAGUUGCUAACAGUCAACGCUGAGGACUCUGCACGGACUGCCGGCGCAAGCCGCGAGGAAGGCGGGGAUGACGUCAAAUCAGCACGGCCCUUACGUCCGGGGCGACACACGUGUUACAAUGGGUGGUACAGCGGGAAGCCAGGCGGCGACGCCGAGCGGAACCCGAAAUCCACUCUCAGUUCGGAUCGGAGUCUGCAACCCGACUCCGUGAAGCUGGAUUCGCUAGUAAUCGCGCAUCAGCCAUGGCGCGGUGAAUACGUUCCCGGGCCU
rnacentral:rRNA from 1 species